AUUGAACGCUGGCGGCAGGCCUAACACAUGCAAGUCGAACGAGUGGCGGACGGGUGAGUAAUGUCUGGGAAACUGCCCGAUGGAGGGGGAUAACUACUGGAAACGGUAGCUAAUACCGCAUACCAUCGGAUGUGCCCAGAUGGGAUUAGCUAGUAGGGGGGGUAACGGCUCACCGAGGCGACGAUCCCUAGCUGUUCUGAGAGGAGGACCAGCCACACUGGAAAUGAGACCCGGUCCAGACUCCGACGGGAGGCAGCAGGGGGGAAUAUUGCACAAUGGGCGCAAGCCUGAUGCAGCCAUGCCGUGUGUAUGAAGAAGGCCUUCGGGUUGUAAAGUACUUUCAGCGAGGAGGCGUUACUCGCAGAAGAAGCAUCGGCUAACUCCGUGCCAGCAGCCGCGGUAUAC
rnacentral:rRNA from 1 species